AUGGGUAAAACCUGUGCAAUUGCACAUCUACCUUUUCCAUUAAACCUGUUUGUAUCACUGUGGGUCACUUUUGGUGGAGGAACCAAACUGUCUGUGGGCCGUCUCACCCAGCCCACUGUGACAGUUCUGCCUCCCUCCAGUGUGGACCUGCAGCAGGAGAAGGUCACACUCAUGUGUGUGGCCUAUAAGGGCUUCCCCUCGGACUGGAGGCUGAGCUGGAAGGUUGAUGGGAGCAGCUUGAGCUCGGGGGAGAGCCACAGCACCGCCGUUCUGCACGCGGACGGCCUCUACAGCUGGAGCAGCACGCUGAGCAUCCACCCGGAGCAGUGGAGGAACAAGGUGGUGACCUGUGAGGCCUCCAAUGACAACCAACCUCCUGUGGUGAGCUCAGUGGACAGAGAGCAGUGCUAAGAGCUGUGAGCUCACACACACUUUACUCAGCUCACCUUCUACUGUGUGUUACAUGUGGCCCACUUUCAUAAUUUCAUGUGCGGUAUUAACGGGAGCUCACACACUCCUCAGUUUAAAUCAGCUCUUUUUCUUCAUUAUCACCUAAAUAUGUGUUAAGUGUGUUUAUCACUGCAAUGUCCUGCUUUGAAUUAUUAAUAAAAGCCUUUGAAUCAGUAAA